CAGAAUACAGGAAAUAGAUGCAGUGAUUUAUUAAUACACGUGCCAAUAUAAAUGGAAAUACAGUAUAUAAGGGGAAAAAAGAGUAUUUGGUGUGACAUGUAUUCUUUUUUGUAAUUUCUUUAAGUAGUCUUCAGGAAUACUUCUCCAGGCUUCUCGAAGGACAUUUAAAGCUCAUUUUCUUAUGCUGGCUGCUUUUUGUGGUGUCAAGAUGAUCACACACUGCUUCAUGUUGUGAAGCACAAAAGAGAAUAACAGGUUAGGAGGAUACCAGUCCAUAACUUCAGUGAACUGAACAUGGAUCAACUGAAGCGCCACAUCAGGUCCUGUUUCUGGUGUUUUUCUCCCAUUUCUUAAGGACAUGACUUUCAGACACUUUUCAUCUGCUGGAGAUCGUUUGGAGGAUUACAGCUGGCAGCUUACCAACUGUAGUGUGCACAGAUGGACCAGCAAGACCCAGAGUUUGCAGCUGGGUCCAAGUCUGUUUGUGCUACGAAGCGUGCAGAAAAUGAAGCUCUGGCACUCUGACUCUGCAGGAUUUUAAAAUGCGAAGCUGGCGGGAAAUGGAUGGAAAGGAAGAUGCCGCUGGCUGUUUGUUUUUGUUUAAUAUGAUGAAAUCAGCCUCCAGAUGGGAUCCUAGAAUGAUUACCAUAUGGGCCCACAGUGAUUUAUGAGACUCGUUGGCGCUGAAUGCCUCGGUAGCUCAGAUUCCACCUGCCAUCAACACAGACUGAUCACUCUGUCAUAUGAAGGAGGCAGUGAUGUGUACAUUUAUUUGAGAUGUCAAAGAGUGCGUUAAAGUGAAAUAAACCUAUUUUAUCUACA
ensembl:lncRNA